UGGUGGAGUGAUUUGUCUGGUUAAUUCCGUUAACGAACGAGACCACGACCUGCUAAAUAGUUUGGCGAAUUCCAUCGUGGAUUUGUACAUAACUUCUUAGAGGGACUAUCGGUUGCAAGCCGGUGAAAAAUA
rnacentral:rRNA from 1 species